CCCACAGGACCCAGUUUGAAGUCCACCGUUUCGGUUGAACCCCUUCACAUCACACGUGAGAAAACAGAGACCUGGAGAAGCUAAAUAUCCCAGGGUCAAAAAGCUGGCGAGUGGGCGAGGCAGAACCGGACACUGGGCUUCCCGCUGCUCAGGGCUGUCUCCUGGAAAGCCCUGGAGCUGGGGGCUGUAACCGCCGGAAGGGAACUCAGACACGCUGGUGACCAAUCUUCCCACUAUAGAAAAGGCCUCCCUUAAAAGUCCAGGGCACACCGGCCUCUGCACACAUUGCUCUCCUUUGCUGGGACUGACGAGGUCACACUGCAGCUUCGGUGACCAGUGACCAGGGACCUUUACUUCCACUUCCUUGACCUGCACAGCCCCAAAGCCAAAGGAUCCUUGGCCUAGCCCCACAGGCACAUGGAUCUCGUGACCUCCAAUGACCCUCUCACGUCAGUCAGCCUUGCCUUCCUCAAACUGCUGUCACCCUGGAGGGUCUACCACGUGCCAGGCCAUGUGCCAACCCUUUCCUGUCAUAGAUGGUGAUGAUCAUCAUGGUUGACAGAGGACAAGUUUCCCCCCAAUAAAUGGACAUCUCAUUUCAAUUGGACCUUUGUGUGGAGUGACAUCUGCUGGGCUUCAGCUGGCAUCCUGGACUCUAUGCAGGAGAGGGCGUGGAGGUGGAUGAGAGGAGGAGGGGAACAGAGGCCCAAGCGGAGGGACAGCAGUCUGAAUGGCAUUUACCAAGUAUACAUGAACCCACAUUCUUACAGCAAAAGCGUGAACUCUGCCAAAAGGAGCCUAUGUCUUCUAUUUGAGAAAUGGAACUCCGAGAAGUCCUCACACAGCCCACUUGCUCUACCACGAGGUAGGAGAACACAGUGGGACAGAGACUGAGACCAGAGCUGAGUGUGGACACCGCCUCCUACUGGCCGUACGUCUGGGCUUCGGCCUGAACUGGGAGAAGAGGGUGGUUCCAGGACGCAGUGAGAGAGCGCAUUUAUGAUGUUUAGCGGACAGAAACAAAGCCUGCAUUCCCCUAACAGAGGAAGCAGUACAGACACGCAGGACCAGUGUGGACGAGGCCCCCUCUACUCCUCCCGGGAGGAUCACACGGAGCUGGGCUGGACCACCAAGACUGCCCCACAAAGACCAAAAGAUCCAGGCCAUCUCCCCUACACUGGGCUCCUCCAGCAGUGGCCAGUCUCGUUGUGUGAGUUCCUACUGUCCCGUUGCCUGGUGAGAUGCAGUGCCUGGUACCACGAUGGACAAAUAAGUGAGUCAACGGGACCAGAAGGUAGCAUGGUGGUUAAGGGCAUUGGAUUCCCACACGGCGGACCGUGGUUCGA